AAAAAUUUGUGUUAUAUUUGUGGUGCUAUUACAAAAAUGAUGAAUGAUGAGUAAAAAGGUAUGGUAGAUAAAAAGGUAUGGUAGAUAAAAA